CCUACGGGGGGCAGCAGUGGGGAAUAUUGGACAAUGGGGGCAACCCUGAUCCAGCCAUGCCGCGUGUGUGAAGAAGGCCCUCGGGUUGUAAAGCACUUUCAGUGAGGAAGAACGCCUGGUGGUUAAUACCCAUCAGGAAAGACAUCACUCACAGAAGAAGCACCGGCUAACUCCGUGCCAGCAGCCGCGGUAAUACGGAGGGUGCGAGCGUUAAUCGGAAUUACUGGGCGUAAAGCGCGCGUAGGUGGCUUGAUAAGCCGGUUGUGAAAGCCCCGGGCUCAACCUGGAAACGGCAUCCGGAACUGUCAAGCUAGAGUGCAGGAGAGGAAGGUAGAAUUCCCGGUGUAGCGGUGAAAUGCGUAGAGAUCGGGAGGAAUACCAGUGGCGAAGGCGGCCUUCUGGACUGACACUGACACUGAGGUGCGAAAGCGUGGGUAGCAAACAGGAUUAGAUACCCUUGUAGUC
rnacentral:rRNA from 1 species